GUGCCAGCCGCCGCGGUAAUACGGAGGGUGCAAGCGUUAAUCGGAAUUACUGGGCGUAAAGCGCGCGUAGGUGGCUUGAUAAGCCGGUUGUGAAAGCCCCGGGCUCAACCUGGGAACGGCAUCCGGAACUGUCAAGCUAGAGUGCAGGAGAGGAAGGUAGAAUUCCCGGUGUAGCGGUGAAAUGCGUAGAGAUCGGGAGGAAUACCAGUGGCGAAGGCGGCCUUCUGGACUGACACUGACACUGAGGUGCGAAAGCGUGGGUAGCAAACAGGAUUAGAUACCCUGGUAGUCCACGCCGUAAACGAUGUCGACCAGCCGUUGGGUGCCUAGCGCACUUUGUGGCGAAGUUAACGCGAUAAGUCGACCGCCUGGGGAGUACGGCCGCAAGGUUAAAACUCAAAUGAAUUGACGGGGGCCCGCACAAGCGGUGGAGCAUGUGGUUUAAUUCGAUGCAACGCGAAGAACCUUACCUACUCUUGACAUCCUGCGAAUUUGGUAGAGAUACCUUAGUGCCUUCGGGAACGCAGAGACAGGUGCUGCAUGGCUGUCGUCAGCUCGUGUUGUGAAAUGUUGGGUUAAGUCCCGUAACGAGCGCAACCCUUGUCCUUAUUUGCCAGCGCGUAAUGGCGGGAACUCUAAGGAGACUGCCGGUGACAAACCGGAGGAAGGUGGGGACGACGUCAAGUCAUCAUGGCCCUUACGAGUAGGGCUACACACGUGCUACAAUGGUCGGUACAAAGGGUUGCCAACUCGCGAGAGUGAGCCAAUCCCGAAAAGCCGAUCUCAGUCCGGAUCGGAGUCUGCAACUCGACUCCGUGAAGUCGGAAUCGCUAGUAAUCGUGGAUCAGAAUGCCACGGUGAAUACGUUCCCGGGCCUUGUACACACCGCCCGUCACACCAUGGGAGUGGACUGCACCAGAAGUGGUUAGCCUAACGCAAGAGGGCGAUCACCACGGUGUGGUUCAUGACUGGGGUGAAGUCGUAACAAGGUAACC
rnacentral:rRNA from 1 species